AUUCCUGACACAAAAUGGAGACAGCAAGAGAGAUUACCACAAAAUGGGGGUCUGAAUAUACAAAUUUUUCAGGACCAGGACAUCUAAAGGAUUUUCUUCUCCCACAUGAGUCUGUCUGAAUUCUGCAAUCAACUGAAAAGACCCUUCUGUACUUAGUGCUGCCAUCUGAAGUUGAUUUUUUUCAGAAUUUCAGAAUCUGAAGUUCAGAAUUUGAAGAACAACAGUCUCCAACUGACACCAUCUGGAAUCUGCCUGUGAGGGAAAAAAAAUGAAAAGCUUUCCACCUCCCCUGGUCUGACCCUUGUCUUCUCAAGAGCUGCUUCCAAACUGAGCCACAUCAGGAAUUCGGCCCCUCUAACAAACUGUGCGACUUACCUGCAGCUAAUCCCCAUCCACUGUCUCUUUAGAAUAUCAUCAAUACACGAUAAUUCGCUGCAGAUCAGCACACAUAUACCAUGCAGAACUACAUAUGUCUCAACUGGCUUGUACAAAUAAAACUAAGACUGAAAUACUUCAGCUACCAAUAUGUUAUAAGAGGAGACGAGUGUGCUUCCUUGUCACUAUGCAUAUGACUCAAAUAAAUGUGCAGGGAAUUGAAUCUCCUCCAGUGAAUGUGCAUUUUUCAGCUUAUUGUGCCAAACAAAAGCCAAUGGCUAUAUGCACCAAGUAACCCCAUUAAAGGAUAUGGAG